UGGGGAAUUUUGGACAAUGGGCGAAAGCCUGAUCCAGCAAUGCCGCGUGUGUGAAGAAGGCCUUCGGGUUGUAAAGCACUUUUGUCCGGAAAGAAAUCCUUGGCUCUAAUACAGUCGGGGGAUGACGGUACCGGAAGAAUAAGCACCGGCUAACUACGUGCCAGCAGCCGCGGUAAUACGUAGGGUGCAAGCGUUAAUCGGAAUUACUGGGCGUAAAGCGCGCGCAGGCGGUUUGCUAAGACCGAUGUGAAAUCCCCGGGCUCAACCUGGGAACUGCAUUGGUGACUGGCAGGCUAGAGUAUGGCAGAGGGGGGUAGAAUUCCACGUGUAGCAGUGAAAUGCGUAGAGAUGUGGAGGAAUACCGAUGGCGAAGGCAGCCCCCUGGGCCAAUACUGACGCUCAUGCACGAAAGCGUGGGGAGCAAACAGGAUUAGAUACCCCUGGUAGUCCACGCCCUAAACGAUGUCAACUAGUUGUUGGGGAUUCAUUUCCUUAGUAACGUAGCUAACGCGUGAAGUUGACCGCCUGGGGAGUACGGUCGCAAGAUUAAAACUCAAAUGAAUUG
rnacentral:rRNA from 1 species